GAUGAACGCUGGCGGCGUGCCUAACACAUGCAAGUCGAACGAAGCACCUUGCCUGAUUCUUCGGAUGAAAGUUUGGUGACUGAGUGGCGGACGGGUGAGUAACGCGUGGGUAACCUGCCCUGUACAGGGGGAUAACAGCUGGAAACGGCUGCUAAUACCGCAUAAGCGCACGAGGAGACAUCUCCUUGUGUGAAAAACUCCGGUGGUACAGGAUGGGCCCGCGUCUGAUUAGCUGGUUGGCAGGGUAACGGCCUACCAAGGCAACGAUCAGUAGCCGGCCUGAGAGGAUGAACGGCCACAUUGGAACUGAGACACGGUCCAAACUCCUACGGGAGGCAGCAGUGGGGAAUAUUGCACAAUGGGGGAAACCCUGAUGCAGCAACGCCGCGUGAGUGAAGAAGUAUUUCGGUGUGUAAAGCUCUAUCAGCAGGGAAGAUAAUGACGGUACCUGACGAAGAAGCUCCGGCUAAAUACGUG
rnacentral:rRNA from 1 species